rnacentral:rRNA from 1 species
UACGUAGGAUGCAAGCGUUGUCCGGAAUUAUUGGGCGUAAAGAGCGCGCAGGCGGUAUGACAAGUCAGAUGUGAAAGAGGCCGGCUUAACCGGCAAGGGUCAUUUGAAACUGUCAGACUAGAGUGCAGCAGAGGAUAGUGGAAUUCCCGGUGUAGUGGUGAAAUGCGUAGAUAUCGGGAGGAACACCAGUGGCGAAGGCGGCGACCUGGUCCUUUUACUGACGCUGAGGCGCGAAAGCGUGGGGAGCAAACAGG